AGAGUUCGUAUGGAACCAUUAAAAACUCUACGCGAAGGUUGCCUAAGGACCUUCUGGUCAAUUACGCAGCGAAUUAGUACUAAUAUCUGGUAAACGUAACAGAAGCUGAUAGAAACAGAACAUACAUGAACUGCAUGGCCACUUAUCAAAAGUGAUGCAAAUAAUUUAUAUAUAUAUAUCGAAGUGAUUGGACUGACUUACAGGAGCGCAACACCGGAAGACCAAAAAUCAACUAAGACAUCUUAGUGAAAAAUAAGCAUGAUCGACAAAAAUAGGGCUGGUGUGAAAUGUUUGCACAUAUCAGAUGAGCAGACCUAUCACGUGCCUUUGGUGGGCUGCGAAUCAAACGUUUAUGGAAGUAAACACACCGAGCCGGGACCUUGCGUCCGCCUCCACAAUGUUUGGAGGUUAUCUACGCCCCUGAGUGCGAUUCAUCGAAGAUUAAUUCAACCAAACAUAUUCAUGAACAUACAUUCUCAAUCCAUUUAAAAACGUGAAAACCUUUAUAAGUUGUGGCAUGGUGAAGAUUUAAUAAGCAUUUCGGUGAAUUUUUCCUGUGUGACGAGCAAAUUUCUACCCAAUUAAAUCGCUAACCCCAUCAAACGAUUGUGUACAACAUAUAUAUACGAUGCUACAUGCACAAAAAUUUGGCUUCUUUCCGACGUAAUAGAUCAUUUUGCAUUUUUCCAACAGAGAUAGAGCCAAUGCUAAGAAGAUGGCGCUAAUGAUAGGAGAUGGCGCCAAUGUAGGAUGUACAUUUAUCAAUUAACAGUCGUAUCGCAAUGACAUCAUCGCAUGACGUACAUUUGAGCAAUAAUGUUAUUUGUUGUAUAUUUACUUAUUUUUCAACGUACAUACGAAUGUCCAAAUCUUUACAGAACACAACACAUUCUGUAAUAAAUAAGAUGUAGUUUUCUUUUAAAUAUAUAAGUUAUCAACUGAAUUUAAAAGUCACUUACAUGAAUAAAAGAUAUUGUACGUUAAAUACCAACACUUUGUAAUACUCAAUAAAACCAAUAAAUAAAUUCUCAACAUUAUCAAAAUAUUUCAUCGACAGCAAAGUUUUGUACACAGUAUGAUAAUAAGCGAUAUAAAUAUUAUUAGUAACACUGUAAGUAACUGGUGGUGUAUGGAAUGUUUAUAAUGUCACGUCAUCUUUUCCAUAUUCCUUUUGUUUAUGUCCUUAAAAUAUGUAUCAUAACCAAACAUGCUCCUUCGUUUUCCAUUCUAUCAUCAACAUUUUCCAUUGCUUCAAAUCCUUUGAUUUCUAGAAUCUUGUAUGUCCAACUGCCUUCUUUUUUCUUUCAGAACUUUGGUCUCUUUGUCUUCUCUUUUCUUUCUGAUUUCUUUAUAUUUGUGAUUCUGAAGGUCUUCUUUUUCUUGACAAGCCUUUUUACGCAUUUCAACAACUCUAUUUCUCUGUUUUUGUACGAAA